rnacentral:rRNA from 1 species
CCUACGGGUGGCAGCAGUGAGGGAUAUUGGUCAAUGGGGGAAACCCUGAACCAGCAACGCCGCGUGAGGUAAGACGGUUUUCGGAUUGUAAACCUCUGUCCUCUGUGAAGAUAAUUACGGUAGCCGAUGAGGACUCUCCGGCUAACUACGUGCCAGCAGCCGCGGUCAUACGUAGGGAGCAAGCGUUGUCCGGAUUUACUGGGUGUAACGGGUGCGUAGGCGGCUUUGCAAGUCAGAAGUGAAAUCCAUGGGUUUAACCCCGGAACUGCGUUUGAAACUGCAGAGCUGGAGUGGAGUAGAGGUAGGCGGAAUUCCCGGUGUAGCGGUGAAAUGCGUAGAGAGCGGGAGGAACACCAGUGGCGAAGGCGGUCUGCUGGGCUCUAACUGACGCUGAGGCACGAAAGCGUGGGUAGCAAACAGGAUUAGAUACCCCUGUAGUC